rnacentral:rRNA from 1 species
AGUGAACGCUGGCGGUAGGCCUAACACAUGCAAGUCGAACGGCAGCACAGUAAGAGCUUGCUCUUACGGGUGGCGAGUGGCGGACGGGUGAGGAAUACAUCGGAAUCUACUUUUUCGUGGGGGAUAACGUAGGGAAACUUACGCUAAUACCGCAUACGACCUACGUGUGAAAGCAGGGGAUCUUCGGACCUUGCGCGAUUGAAUGAGCCGAUGUCGGAUUAGCUAGUUGGCGGGGUAAAGGCCCACCCAGGCGACGAUCCGUAGCUGGUCUGAGAGGAUGAUCAGCCACACUGGAACUGAGACACGGUCCAGACUCCUACGGGAGGCAGCAGUGGGGAAUAUUGGACAAUGGGCGCAAGCCUGAUCCAGCCAUACCGCGUGGGUGAAGAAGGCCUUCGGGUUGGAAAGCCCUUUUGUUGGGAAAGAAAAGCAGCAGGUUAAUACCCCGCUGUUCUGACGGUACCCAAAGAAUAAGCACCGGCUAACUUCGUG